GACGGAGGGUGCUAGCGUUGUUCGGAAUUACUGGGCGUAAAGGGCGCGUAGGCGGCCUGGUCAGUCGGGUGUGAAAGCCCGGGGCUCAACCCCGGAACGGCACCCGAGACGGCCAGGCUGGAGACCGGGAGAGGAGGGUGGAAUAGCCAGUGUAGAGGUGAAAUUCGUAGAUAUUGGCUGGAACACCGGUGGCGAAAGCGGCUCUCUGGGACGGUACUGACGCUGAGACGCGAAAGCGUGGGGAGCGAACAGG
rnacentral:rRNA from 1 species